GGACGGGUGAGUAAUGUCUGAAACUGCUGAUGAGGGGAUACUACUGAACGUAGCUAUACGAUACGUCCAGACAAGAGGGGACCUCGGGCUCUGCAUCAGAUGUGCCAGAUGGGAUGCUAUAGGUGGGUACGGCUCACUAGCGACGAUCCUACUGUCUGAAGGAUGACCACCACACUGGAACUGAACACGGUCCAGACUCCUACGGGAGGCAGCAGUGGGGAAUAUUGCACAAUGGGCGCAAGCCUGAUGCAGCCAUGCCGCGUGUAUGAAGAAGGCCUUCGGGUUGUAAAGUACUUUCAGCGGGGAGGAAGGUGUUGUGGUUAAUAACCACAGCAAUUGACGUUACCCGCAAAAAGCACCGGCUAACUCCGUGCCAGCAGCCGCGGUAAUACGGGGGGUGCAAGCGUUAAUCGGAAUUACUGGGCGUAAAGCGCACGCAGGCGGUCUGUCAAGUCGGAUGUGAAAUCCCCGGGCUCAACCUGGGAACUGCAUUCGAAACUGGCAGGCUAGAGUCUUGUAAGGGGGGUAGAAAUUCCAGGGCGUACGGUGGAAAUGCGUAGAGAUCUGGGAGGAAUACCGGGUGGGCGAAAGGCGGCCCCC
rnacentral:rRNA from 1 species